rnacentral:rRNA from 1 species
UAGCUAGUUGGUGAGGUAACGGCUUACCAAGGCGACGAUCUGUAGCGGGUCUGAGAGGAUGAUCCGCCACACUGGAACUGAGACACGGUCCAGGCUCCUACGGGAGGCAGCAGUGGGGAAUUUUGGACAAUGGGGGCAACCCUGAUCCAGCCAUGCCGCGUGAGUGAAGAAGGCCUUCGGGUUGUAAAGCUCUUUCGGCCGGGAGGAAAUCGCAUGGGCCAAUACCCUGUGUGGAUGACGGUACCGGAAUAAGAAGCACCGGCUAACUACGCGCCAGCAGCCGCGGUAAUACGUAGGGUGCGAGCGUUAAUCGGAAUUACUGGGCGUAAAGCGUGCGCAGGCGGUUUUGUAAGACAGGCGUGAAAUCCCCGGGCUCAACCUGGGAACUGCGUUUGUGACUGCAAGGCUAGAGUACGGCAGAGGGGGGUGGAAUUCCACGUGUAGCAGUGAAAUGCGUAGAGAUGUGGAGGAACACCAAUGGCGAAGGCAGCCCCCUGGGUCGAUACUGACGCUCAUGCACGAAAGCGUGGGUAGCAAACAGGAUUAGAUACCCUGGUAGUCCACGCCCUAAACUAUGUCAACUAGGUGUUGGGUGGGUAAAACCAUUUAGUACCGUAGCUAACGCGUGAAGUUGACCGCCUGGGGAGUACGGCCGCAAGGUUAAAACUCAAAGGAAUUGACGGGGACCCGCACAAGCGGUGGAUGAUGUGGAUUAAUUCGAUGCAACGCGAAAAACCUUACCUACCCUUGACAUGCCAGGAACUUGCCAGAGAUGGCUUGGUGCCCGAAAGGGAGCCUGGACACAGGUGCUGCAUGGCUGUCGUCAGCUCGUGUCGUGAGAUGUUGGGUUAAGUCCCGCAACGAGCGCAACCCUUGUCGUUAAUUGCCAUCAUUUAGUUGGGCACUUUAGCGAGACUGCCGGUGACAAACCGGAGGAAGGUGGGGAUGACGUCAAGUCCUCAUGGCCCUUAUGGGUAGGGCUUCACACGUCAUACAAUGGUCGGUACAGAGGGUCGCCAAGCCGCGAGGUGGAGCCAAUCCCAGAAAGCCGAUCGUAGUCCGGAUUGCAGGCUGCAACUCGCCUGCAUGAAGUCGGAAUCGCUAGUAAUCGUGGAUCAGCAUGUCACGGUGAAUACGUUCCCGGGUCUUGUACACACCGCCCGUCACACCAUGGGAGCGGGUUCCGCCAGAAGUAGGUAGCCUAACCGCAAGGAGGGCGCUUACCACGGCGGGGUUCGUGACUGGGGUGAAGUCGUAACAAGGUAGCCGUAGGGGAACCUGCGGCUG